rnacentral:rRNA from 1 species
AGAACGAACGCUGGUGGCAUGCCUAACACAUGCAAGUCGAACGAGACCUUCGGGUCUAGUGGCGCACGGGUGCGUAACGCGUGGGAAUCUGCCCUUGGGUUCGGGAUAACAGUUGGAAACGACUGCUAAUACCGGAUGAUGACUUCGGUCCAAAGAUUUAUCGCCCAGGGAUGAGCCCGCGUAGGAUUAGCUAGUUGGUGAGGUAAAGGCUCACCAAGGCGACGAUCCUUAGCUGGUCUGAGAGGAUGAUCAGCCACACUGGACUGAGACACGGCCCAGACUCCUACGGGAGCAGCAGUGGGAUAUGGACAAUGGGCGAAAGCCUAGAUCCAGCAAUGCCGCGUGAGUGAUGAAGGCCGUUAGGGUUGUAAAGCUCUUUACCGGGAUGAUAUGACAGACCGGUAGAAAUACGCCCGACUACCUCCG